CGCACGGGUGAGUAACACGUAUGCAACCUGCCUUCAACAAGGGCAUAACCCGUUGAAAGACGGACUAAUUCCCUAUGACACAGGGGUCCCGCAUGGGGAUAUUUGUUAAAGAUAUUAUCGGUUGAAGAUGGGCAUGCGUUCCAUUAGCUUGUUGGCGGGGUAACGGCCCACCAAGGCAACGAUGGAUAGGGGAACUGAGAGGUUUAUCCCCCACACUGGUACUGAGACACGGACCAGACUCCUACGGGAGGCAGCAGUGAGGAAUAUUGGUCAAUGGACGCAAGUCUGAACCAGCCACGUCGCGUGAAGGAAGACGGCCCUACGGGUUGUAAACUUCUUUUAUACGGGAAUAAAGUGCCCCACGCGUGGGGUUUUGCAAGUACCGUACGAAUAAGGAUCGGCUAACUCCGUGCCAGCAGCCGCGGUAAUACGGAGGAUCCGAGCGUUAUCCGGAUUUAUUGGGUUUAAAGGGUGCUCAGGCGGGGGAUUAAGUCGGCGGUGAAAUUUUGCAGCUCAACUGUAAAAGUGCCUUCGAAACUGGUUUCCUUGAGUGCGGAUGAGGUAGGCGGAAUUUGUGGUGUAGCGGUGAAAUGCAUAGAUAUCACGAGGAACUCCGAUUGCGCAGGCAGCUUACCAAGCCGUAACUGACGCUCAAGCACGAAGGCGUGGGGAUCAAACAGGAUUAGAUACCCUGGUAGUCCACGCAGUAAACGAUGAUUACUGGCUGUUUGCGAUAUAAUGUAAGCGGCUGAGCGAAAGCGUUAAGUAAUCCACCUGGGGAGUACGUUCGCAAGAAUGAAACUCAAAGGAAUUGACGGGGGCCCGCACAAGCGGAGGAACAUGUGGUUUAAUUCGAUGAUACGCGAGGAACCUUACCCGGGCUUGAAAUGCGUCUGGCGU
rnacentral:rRNA from 1 species